rnacentral:lncRNA from 1 species
GUCAUUAAUUAUUUUUUUAUCCCCCCUGCAGUUUUGUGAAGUUCCGUAUUCUGAUACAAAGUCAUGUAGUUGGGCUUCUGUUCUUUGUGGUCAAAGAAAAGACUGUCACUAUAUAGAUUACUAAGUAAGAUUUAAAGACAAACAGACAAAUGUGUACAGAGUGGUCAGUGCUGUGUGAAAGCAUUUGUUACAAAGAUUGGCUGUGUUUUAAACAGGUGCUGGGUAUGUACUGGGCAGGAAAAUGGACUGUUUUUUAGAUAACUGCUUUUCAAUCGUUAUGUUGAUAAGUUGCUGUCAGCCAGGUGUGAAACCAAGUCUUAUUUUUUCUAAACAUGCUUUGAAAGGCUUUGAAGCUUAAUCUGCAGGGGUGAGGGCUGCUUCAUGAGCAAGGUAUCUGCACGCACCAACUGCCCUAACAGUCUUGAUGAGAAGGCUACUUGUAAAACUGCAUCGAAGUUGUGAGAGCAGGAGAGAAUAGGAGAAUGCCGUUGCCCCAAUCUCCAACCUUGAGAGAGGGAGAUAUGGUAACAACAGGAAAACAAUCCUAGUAUUUCUAAGGUAAAAUCUGUCUUCAGAUGCACAUUCCUUAUUAAAAAGAACUUGGUAUGGAACCAGGUGCCUUGCAGUCUCCUAGUCCAAAGCAAGGACAGCCCUAUGGUCACAUUAGGUUGCUUAGGCCUGCGUGCAGUGAAAUAUCUUCGGUCGUGGUCAUUUCUCAUUCUCUCCAUACCACCUAUUCUAGUGUUGGACCAUUCCCAUUCUGCAUAGUUUUCUCCUUUCACCUAGCAGGAAUUUUCUUUGCUGUGGUUUGUGCCUAUUGUCUCUUAGUUUUACUGCAAAUCUUCAGAAAAUGUUUGGCUUUUCUCUCUCUAUCCCCUAGUAAGUACCUGCAGACAACUAUAGGAUCUCUCUGCAGCCUUCUCCUCUUCCAGGUGAACUAUUUGCUUAGCCUUUCCUUGUGCAUUGUAUACAUAAGCCCCAUCAUUUUGAUGGCUCUCCACUGGCCUUGAUUCACUAUGCCUGUGCUAGGGAGUACAAAACUAGACAUAGUGAUGAUGCAAUCUUGCAAGUGCCUACUGAAAGGAAUGACCUCCCCGGGCCCUCUGGCUGUACUCUUGCUAUUGCAGUUGGCCCUUUCCAACCCCAUGG